rnacentral:lncRNA from 1 species
UUCAGAAAGUGUCGCAAUAAGAUGCACACAUUGAGCCUCUGCUGUGGCUCUAGACCUACUACCUCAAAAGUUGACCUGUGGCAAAUGUGGCUACUCGGCCAAGCACAAGAGAAAGUAUAAUUGGAGCUCCAGGGAUAAAAGACAAAAAAAAAAAAAAAACACUAGGACCAGUUCAAUUAUGCACCUAAAAAUUGUAUACAGG